CAGCAGCCACGGUAAUACGAAGGGUGCAAGCGUUAAUCGGAAUUACUGGGCGUAAAGCGUGCGUAGGCGGUGAGUUAAGUCUGCUGUGAAAUCCCCGGGCUCAACCUGGGAAUGGCAGUGGAUACUGGCUCGCUAGAGUGUGUCAGAGGAUGGUGGAAUUCCCGGUGUAGCGGUGGAAUGCGUAGAGAUCGGGAGGAACAUCAGUGGCGAAGGCGGCCAUCUGGGACAACACUGACGCUGGCACGAAAGCGUGGGGAGCAAACAGGAUUAGAUACCCCAGUAGUCCCUGUCUCUUAUACAC
rnacentral:rRNA from 1 species